AUUGAACGCUAGCGGGAGGCUUGACACAUGCAAGUCGAACGAGUGGCGGACGGGUGAGUAAUAUAUCGGAACGUGCCCAGUAGCGGGGGAUAACUACUCGAAAGAGUGGCUAAUACCGAAUACGAUUGGAGCGGCCGAUAUCGGCUUAGCUAGUUGGUGGGGUAAAGGCUCACAAAGGCAACGAUCCGUAGCUGGUUUGAGAGGACGACCAGCCACCCUGGAACUGAGACACGGCCCAGACUCCUACGGGAGGCAGCAGUGGGGAAUUUUGGACAAUGGGGUAAACCCUGAUCCAGCCAUCCCGCGUGUAUGAGAAGGCCUUCGGGUUGUAAAGUACUUUUGGCGGAGAAGCGGUAUCUGCAGAAUAAGCACCGGCUAACUACGUGCCAGCCGCCGCGGUAAUUC
rnacentral:rRNA from 1 species